AUUGAACGCUGGCGGCAGGCCUAACACAUGCAAGUCGAGCGGGGUUUUCGGACCUAGCGGCGGACGGGUGAGUAAUGCGUAGGAAGCUACCCGAUAGAGGGGGAUACCAGUUGGAAACGACUGUUAAUACCGCAUAAUGUCUACGGACCAAAGUGUGGGACCUUCGGGCCACAUGCUAUCGGAUGCGCCUACGUGGGAUUAGCUAGUUGGUGAGGUAAUGGCUCACCAAGGCGACGAUCCCUAGCUGGUUUGAGAGGAUGAUCAGCCACACUGGAACUGAGACACGGUCCAGACUCCUACGGGAGGCAGCAGUGGGGAAUAUUGGACAAUGGGCGCAAGCCUGAUCCAGCCGUGCCGCGUGUGUGAAGAAGGCCUUCGGGUUGUAAAGCACUUUCAGUAGGGAGGAAGCGUUGUGUGUUAAUAGUACACAGCGUUGACGUUACCUACAGAAGAAGCACCGGCUAACUCUGUGCCAGCAGCCGCAGUAAGAC
rnacentral:rRNA from 1 species